rnacentral:rRNA from 1 species
GUGCCAGCAGCCGCGGUAAUACGUAGGGGGCGAGCGUUGUCCGGAUUUAUUGGGCGUAAAGAGCUCGUAGGCGGUUGGGUAAGUCGGGUGUGAAAACUCAGGGCUCAACUCUGAGACGCCACUCGAUACUGCUCUGACUCGAGUCCGGUAGGGGAGCGUGGAAUUCCCGGUGUAGCGGUGAAAUGCGCAGAUAUCGGGAGGAACACCAGUGGCGAAGGCGGCGCUCUGGGCCGGAACUGACGCUGAGGAGCGAAAGCGUGGGUAGCAAACAGGAUUAGAUACCCUGGUAGUCC